AAAGAUUUUCUUUCACAACGUCUUCUGUCUGGUUUCAUUUAAUGUGAGAGGGAUCAAUUUUACUUUCAGACAAAUUUAACAAUAAAGAUGUAAAAAUGUGAUUAAUUCUGAAACAUUGUGACACUGUUUGAUAACUAUAAUGUUAAAUAGUAAAUUCUUUUCAAAAGAGGAAGUGUUGUUGUUGAGUUUGUUGUCUUCAAAGUCAGAGAGCCGUGUCUCUGUACAGUCAGAGGUUUUUGUACGACGACUCAAUCAGUUUGUAUCACUGUGGUACACGUUCGGUGGAGGAACCAGACUGGAUGUUGGAAGUGAUGUCCGUCCCACCCUGACGGUGCUGCCCCCCUCCAGAGAGGAGCUGCAGCAGGGCAAGGCCACGCUCAUGUGCCUGGCCAACAAGGGCUUCCCCUCAGACUGGAGUCUGGCCUGGAAGGUGGACGGCAGCAGCAGCAGCAGCAGCAGCAGCUGGGAGGAGAGCAGGAGCCCCGGGGUGCUGGAGAAGGACGGCCACUACAGCUGGAGCAGCACCCUGAGGCUCCCUGCAGACCAGUGGGGGAAGGUGGGCUCUGUGACCUGUGAGGCCACCCAGGGCUCCCAGACUCCGCUCUCAGAGACACUGAGGAGAGACCAGUGUUCCCAGUCCUGACCUGACUCACUGGGACUCUGCUACUGGUUUGACUCUGCUACUGCUCUCACUCUGCACUCUGGAACUAUCUCUGUCUUUCAUUUCACAUCUUUCAAUAGCAAUAUUUACCAGCUUGUUGCAAUGUUUCAAUAUUAUUUCACUGUUUCCACAUAAUAAAGACGUGUUCAUCA